rnacentral:lncRNA from 1 species
CUCUUAGCUACUCGGCCCAAAGACACACCACCAGCUCUUAGCUGCUCGGCCCAGAGACACACAUCUCUCUUUUCUCCUGGCGGCGCUGGUCCUGUCUCUCAUUCUGCCGAGGAGCAGCCAGUACAUCAAGUGGAUCGUCUCUGCGGGGCUUGCCCAGGUCAGCGAGUUUUCCUUUGUCCUGGGGAGCCGGGCGCGAAGAGCGGGCGUCAUCUCUCGGGAGUGUGCCCGGAGAGCUGGGUGGAGGUUCCUGUGGACACUGAGAUGGCCCUGGGCAUUCGGACUCACGGCCUUGUCUCCUUGCAUUGUGUGUACCUCCUUAUACUGAGUGUGACCACGCUCAGCCUCUUGCUCGCCCCGGUGCUGUGGAGAGCUGCAAUCACGAGGUGUGUGCCCAGACCGGAGAGACGGUCCAGCCUCUGAUGGCUCGGAGAUGAUGGACCGUGGAAGGGAAGCGUCUGUGGGGAGUGAGCGCUUAGAUGGCCAGCAGCUGCUCCUUCUGGGAAGCUCGCACCUUGGCAACAGAACAGCCCUCUAGCAGAGCGUCAGUGCAGUCGUGUUAUCCCGGCUUUUACAGAAUAUUCUUGUCCUAUUUUAGAAUUUUCCGGAGUAGUUUAUUUGCAGUCUGUUGAUUAUGUGCAGUAGACCCGGGACACUGCGUUUUACCGAUCACCUUGAAUGUGGUGCCUGGAUGUGCCUUUUUUUUUUUUCCCUGAAAUUAUUAUUAAUUUUCUAUUGUGAGUUCAUCAGUUCAUAGUUUUUUUAGUAAAGAAGCAAAAUUAAAAGGCUUUUAAAAAUGUACAACUUCAGAAUUAUAAUCUGUUAGUCAAAUAUUUGUUAUUAAACAUUUCUGUAAUAUGAAGUUGUAAUCCUGGCCGUGAGCUUGGAAGCUUACUUUUGAUUCUUAAAGCCUAUGUUUUCUAAAAUGAGACAAAUACGGAUGUCUAUUUGCCUUUUAUUGUAACUUUUAAAUGAAAUAAUUUCAUGUCAAUUUCUAUUAGAUAUAUCACUUAAAAUAUUUGGUUUUAAAUCACAAGAAUAUGUAUUCUUUAAUAAAGAUAAUUUAUGAUCAUGGUAUAAUUAAUUGAAAUUUAUUAAAAUCUGUUUUUAUU